rnacentral:rRNA from 1 species
UACAGAGGUCUCAAGCGUUGUUCGGAUUCAUUGGGCGUAAAGGGUGCGUAGGCGGCGCGGUAAGUCGGGUGUGAAAUCUCGGAGCUUAACUCCGAAACUGCAUUCGAUACUGCCGUGCUUGAGGACUGGAGAGGAGACUGGAAUUACGGUGUAGCGGUGAAAUGCGUAGAUAUCGUAAGGAAGACCAGUGGCGAAAGGCGGGUCUCUGGGACAAGUUCCUGACGCUGAGGCACGAAGGUCAGGGGAGCAAACGGG